rnacentral:rRNA from 1 species
AGGUGAACCUGCGGAAGGAUCAUUAUUGAAUAUGAUUGGUACUGAUGCUGGCUCUUAACUGAGCAUGUGCUCGUCCAUCUAUUUAUCUUCUCUUGUGCACAUUUUGUAGUCUUGAACGUACCUCUCGCAGUCAAAUGCGGUUUGGGAGCUUGGGCGCAAGCCCUUCUCCUGCUUCUUCAAGGCUAUGUUUUCAUAUACACUAUAAAGUUACAGAAUGUCUUUUAACGAUUGCGCUUGUCGUAGUCAUUAAACCUAUACAACUUUCAGCAACGGAUCUCUUGGCUCUCCUAUCGAUGAAGAACGCAGCGAAAUGCGAUAAGUAAUGUGAAUUGCAGAAUUCAGUGAAUCAUCGAAUCUUUGAACGCACCUUGCGCCCUUUGGUAUUCCGAAGGGCAUGCCUGUUUGAGUGUCAUUAAAUUAUCAACCUUGCUCGCUUUUACCGGCUUGAGUUAGGCUUGGACUUGAGGGCUUGCUGGCUUCCUUCAGUGGAUGGUCUGCUCCCUUUAAAUGCAUUAGUGGGAUCUCUUGUGGACCGUCACUUGGUGUGAUAAUUAUCUAUGCCACUUGACCUUGAAGCAAACCUUAUGGGAACCCGCUCAUAACCGUCUUCGGACAACUUUUGACAUUUUGACCUCAAAUCAGGUAGGACUACCCGCUGAACUUAAGCAUAUCAAUA